rnacentral:tRNA from 1 species
GCCUUUGUGGUGUAACGGUAGCAUAUUCGGGCGUAUUUCAGAAGUCCAGGUUCGAAUCCCGGCGAGAGCA